rnacentral:rRNA from 1 species
CCUACGGGGGGCAGCAGUGGGGAAUAUUGGACAAUGGGGGCAACCCUGAUCCAGCCAUGCCGCGUGUGUGAAGAAGGCCCUCGGGUUGUAAAGCACUUUCAGUGAGGAAGAACGCCUGGUGGUUAAUACCCAUCAGGAAAGACAUCACUCACAGAAGAAGCACCGGCUAACUCCGUGCCAGCAGCCGCGGUAAUACGGAGGGUGCGAGCGUUAAUCGGAAUUACUGGGCGUAAAGCGCGCGUAGGUGGCUUGAUAAGCCGGUUGUGAAAGCCCCGGGCUCAACCUGGGAACGGCAUCCGGAACUGUCAAGCUAGAGUGCAGGAGAGGAAGGUGGAAUUCCCGGUGUAGCGGUGAAAUGCGUAGAGAUCGGGAGGAAUACCAGUGGCGAAGGCGGCCUUCUGGACUGACACUGACACUGAGGUGCGAAAGCGUGGGUAGCAAACAGGAUUAGAUACCCGGGUAGUC